AACGUAGGAGACAAACGUUAUCCGGAGUUACUGGGCGUAAAGGGCGUGUAGGUGGUUUCGUAAGUCUGGCGUGAAAUUUCUCGGCUUAACCGAGGCAGGUCGUCGGAUACUGCGGAGCUAGAGGACGGUAGAGGCGUGUGGAAUUCCGGGUGUAGUGGUGAAAUGCGUAGAGAUCCGGAGGAACACCAGUGGCGAAGGCGACACGCUGGGCCGUACCUGACACUGAUGCGCGACAGCAUGGGGAGCAAACAGG
rnacentral:rRNA from 1 species